ensembl:rRNA 5S_rRNA 5S ribosomal RNA
GCUUACAGCCAUACCACACUGAGCCCGCCCGAUCUUGGAAGCUAAGCAGUGCUGGGCCUGGUUAGUACUUGGAUGGGAGACCGACUGGGAAUACCAGGUGCUGUAAACU